rnacentral:lncRNA from 1 species
ACCGGCGGUGGAGCUACCUUGGAAGUGCGUGCGUGCGUGCAUGCAUGCACUUCUUUCUCUCUUUUUUGUUCCACUACAGGUCACGUGUACAAAUAUUGUACGACGAGUUGUUGGUUCGAUGAAUCCAUGCUUUUUUGCUUGCGUUCUGCCCUUCGGUGUAGCCGCUACUUCAAAUGUCUAUAAUUAUUUUACAAAUUAGCUCGUAGCAUUUUUUAAUAUUAUGGAAUAAUCCAUAUUUAGUUUGAAUAAGUAAUAUUAGUAUAGUUAGUAAAAAAUUCUUAUAACAUUUUAUAAUACAUUUUCAUAGCAAAGUAUGUGUAUUUUACUAGUCUUAGAAAUGGACCUAAUAGGUCUCUUCGUGUAAACGGUUGUAAACUUUUUAAGACAAAAUAGAGCAUAGUGACGUACUACCUCUGACUGUUUAUUUGAC